AGGAGCUUGCUCCUCUGACGUUAGCGGCGGACGGGUGAGUAACACGUGGGUAACCUACCUAUAAGACUGGGAUAACUCCGGGAAACCGGGGCUAAUACCGGAUAACACAUGAAACCGCAUGGUUUCAUGAUGAAAGACGGUUUUGCUGUCACUUAUAGAUGGACCCGCGGCGUAUUAGCUAGUUGGUAAGGUAACGGCUUACCAAGGCAACGAUACGUAGCCGACCUGAGAGGGUGAUCGGCCACACUGGAACUGAGACACGGUCCAGACUCCUACGGGAGGCAGCAGUAGGGAAUCUUCCGCAAUGGGCGAAAGCCUGACGGAGCAACGCCGCGUGAGUGAUGAAGGUCUUCGGAUCGUAAAACUCUGUUAUUAGGGAAGAACAAGGAUGUAAGUAACUAUGCAUCCCUUGACGGUACCUAAUCAGAAAGCCACGGCUAACUACGUGCCAGCAGCCGCGGUAAUACGUAGGUGGCAAGCGUUAUCCGGAAUUAUUGGGCGUAAAGCGCGCGUAGGCGGUUUUUUAAGUCUGAUGUGAAAGCCCACGGCUCAACCGUGGAGGGUCAUUGGAAACUGAAAAACUUGAGUGCAGAAGAGGAAAGUGGAAUUCCAUGUGUAGCGGUGAAAUGCGCAGAGAUAUGGAGGAACACCAGUGGCGAAGGCGACUUUCUGGUCUGUAACUGACGCUGAUGUGCGAAAGC
rnacentral:rRNA from 1 species